UUCACAGGGUCUAAUUUAAUAAAUCAGACAUGUUGUAUUUAUUGGGACCGCACAUACGUCUUGACCAUUGAUUUUGUCAAAAUAUUCAGCUCUAGAAAAACAAAUGCCAGUUUCCUCUUCCUUGUCCUCCUCUCCUGCAGGUUGGUCGACAACUUCUGCAUUCGCGAAGGGUACAGUACACCUCGCUGUCUCAUGUAUAAGAUUUACAUGGAGUCCUGUGGGCAAAAUGCUGAGAACCAAGUCAACCUGGCCACCUUUGGGAAGUGAUCACCUGCUCCACGGGAUCAUCCCCAACACUGAGUGUCCCUUUCACUCGCAAAUGUGUUAUAGUUUAAACAAUAAAUUAUAAUGAAUUAUAUGGUCACCCCUGGUAUAAAGCAUCGUAUGUGUGAGGCAGCCGCUGUGGUGGAGAGAUGAGGAACCUCCAGUAUGGGUAAGACAGGGACUGUUUUCUGAUAGCUGAAGAGGGAGGCUAAGAGGUCCAUUUACUUUUAUCCUCAAGUAUAACAUGACAUGUGUCAGAAACAUACAAAAGAUACCAUGAGAACUCAAAGAUGGGGAGCACACAUUUUGGGUGGGUGAUCACGAAGGGCCUACAAGGGCGUUGGGCUUUGAGUGAAGCAAUGAAGGACAGAUUAGAAUUUGACAGGGGGUGUCAGAGAGGGAUAUAGGAGUGCAGAGGACAUCCAGGCUUAGGGGAGCAAAGAUAAAGGUUUGUGAAGGCAAGGGCUUUGUCCUGCCCAGGUGUGCAUGGAGCUCUAGUAAAACAUAAAUCUGGAGGGCAAGUUCAGGGAGCCUAGAUUGCCAGGCUGGGUAGUGAGGGGUGUCCACAAGUUCUUUGGAGGCUUCCUUUAGUAGAAUGGUAAUUACCAGAGGCUGGGGGGAAUAGGGAGGAAUGAAAGGUUGGUUAAUGAUUAAUGGAUAUCAACAUACAGUUAGAUAGAAGGAAUAAGCUCCAGUAUUUGAUAGCACAGUAGGGUGAUUAUAGUUAACAAUAUAUUGUGUAUUUCAAAAUAUCUAGAAGAUUUGAAAUGUUCCCAACACAAAGAAAUAAUAAAUAUUUAAGGUAAUGGAUAUGCUAAACA
rnacentral:lncRNA from 13 species